UACGGGGGGGGCAAGCGUUGUUCGGAAUUACUGGGCGUAAAGGGCGCGUAGGCGGCACUGUUAGUCAGGCGUGAAAUUCCUGGGCUCAACCUGGGGACUGCGCUUGAUACGGCAGAGCUUGAGGAUGGAAGAGGGUCGCGGAAUUCCCAGUGUAGAGGUGAAAUUCGUAGAUAUUGGGAAGAACACCGAUGGCGAAGGCGGCGGCCUGGGCCAUUACUGACGCUGAGGCGCGACAGCGUGGGGAGCAAACAGG
rnacentral:rRNA from 1 species